rnacentral:rRNA from 1 species
UACGUAGGGGGCAAGCGUUGUCCGGAAUCAUUGGGCGUAAAGCGCGCGUAGGCGGCCCGGUAAGUCCGUUGUGAAAGUCAAAGGCUCAACCUUUGAAAGCCGAUGGAUACUGCGGAGCUAGAGUACGGAAGAGGCGAGUGGAAUUCCUGGUGUAGCGGUGGAAUGCGCAGAUAUCAGGAGGAACACCAAUAGCGAAGGCAGCUCGCUGGGACGUUACUGACACUGAGGCGCGAAAGCGUGGGGAGCGAACAGG